rnacentral:lncRNA from 1 species
GCUAAAAUAUCCCCCAUAAAGUAACCCCAUAUAACCCCAUAUCCCCAGUUAGUUCCCCCCAUAUUAACGCCCCCAUAAUAACCCCAUAUAACCCCAUAUAUCCCCAUAUAUCCUAUAAUAACCCUAUAUAUUACCCCAUAUAUUAUCCCAUACAGUCCCUGCGUUCAAAAGAGCCCUUUCCACUUAUGGGGCCGGGGGCUUUGUCCAGGCCGUUGUUUCCCGUCGGGAUCGUGACGCGCUGCAGGUUGUGGUUCAAUGCUGGCGAGGUUGGGGGCACUGAGACCCAACUGUGUCCUAUUGGGGUGGCCACGGGGGGCACAGCUCAGGGAGGACCCUAUAGCGGCAACUGAGUUUGUGGGUACGGGAUAUAUGUAUGGAGCAGUUCAUAUUAGGGGGAAUUAAUAUGGGGUAAUAUGGGGGGAUAUGGGGUUUAUGGGGGAAUGGGGGGAUAUGGGGUCCUAAUAGGGGAAUAUAUGGGGUUAUAUGAGGUAUAUAUGGGAUAUAUGGGUUAUGGGGGUCAGGUUAUGGGAGGUUAUAUGGGGUUAUAUGAGGGUUAUAUGGGGAGAUAGGGGGAGAUAUGGGGGAUAUGGGGAGUGAUAUGGGGUCUAUAUGGGGGGAUAUGGGGUGACUAUUAGGGGGGGAUAUGGGCGGUCCUAUGGGAAGAGUAUUGCGGGUAUAGGGGGG